rnacentral:rRNA from 1 species
UACAGAGGUCUCAAGCGUUGUUCGGAUUCAUUGGGCGUAAAGGGUGUGUAGGUGGCGCGCUAAGUCGGGUGUGAAAUUUCGGAGCUUAACUCCUAAACUGCAUUCGAUACUGGCGUGCUUGAGGACUGGAGAGGAGACUGGAAUUCAUGGUGUAGCAGUGAAAUGCGUAGAGAUCAUGAGGAAGACCAGUGGCGAAGGCGGGUCUCUGGACAGUUCCUGACACUGAGACACGAAGGCCAGGGGAGCAAACGGG